rnacentral:lncRNA from 1 species
CUGUCUUCUGCCCGCCUCCCUCCAGCUGCCCCUCUGUUCAGCUCCCUGCUGGACGCUCUCCAGGAGCCUCGGCUGGGGCUGUGCACACACAGCCUGUUAUCAUGUGACGUGGGACCCCCGCCUUCACCAGGUCCUUGAAGACUGCCAGCAGAGAACGAAGCAGCCGAAAAGCAGAAGUGACUCCCAGGGUCUGCUGAUGGAAAAAUGGACAAACACAAUGUGGUCUAUACCUACGGUGGAAUAGUAUUCAGCCUUGAAAAGGAAGGAAAUUCUGACACGUGCUACAGAUGGAUGAACCGGGAAGACGUGCUCGGUGAAAUUUAAGUAUACUAUGUAAACAUCACCCAUCUGCAGACCUACCCUUCGUAUGCAGAAACUAAGAGACAUCCCACUCAUGGUCAGAGACCCCCGGAGGCCUGGAGUGUGGUGCAGAGUGCACCUGGGUCCCGACAGGCCUGGGCUGGGCAUCGGGGUCCGCCUGGGCCCUCCUCUCAGUGGCUGGGGCCCCGGCCUGCGGCAGGCUGCUGUGCUGUGGCUGGUUGGGGUGCGUAAUGCCCAUCCCAUUGUCAGACUGAUGAUGACAGUGUCAUCAGCGCAAAUAGCAAUUACGGUAAUUGUCCUGUUCAGGCGUAACCAGACUCCAG